rnacentral:rRNA from 1 species
GACGUAGGGUGCGAGCGUUGUCCGGAUUUAUUGGGCGUAAAGAGCGUGUAGGCGGUUUGGUAGGUCCGUUGUGAAAACUCGAGGCUCAACCUCGAGACGCCGAUGGAAACCAUCAGACUAGAGUCCGGAAGAGGAGAGUGGAAUUCCUGGUGUAGCGGUGAAAUGCGCAGAUAUCGGGAGGAACACCAGUAGCGAAGGCGGCUCGCUGGGCCAUUCCUGACGCUGAGACGCGAAAGCUAGGGGAGCGAACAGG